rnacentral:rRNA from 1 species
UACGUAGGUGACCAGCGUUGUCCGGAUUUACUGGGCGUAAAGAGCGCGCAGGCGGUCGUCAAGUCGAGUGUGAAAGCCCCCGGCUCAACUGGGGAGGGUCAUUCGAUACUGAUCGACUCGAAGGCAGGAGAGGGAAGCGGAAUUCCCGGUGUAGUGGUGAAAUGCGUAGAUAUCGGGAGGAACACCCAGGGGGAAAGCCCAGCCGCCUGGGCAUCGACUGACGCUGAGGUGCGAGAGCGUGGGGGAGCGAACCGG